CUACGGGUCGCUCCAGUGAGGAAUAUUGCACAAUGGGGGGAACCCUGAUGCAGCAACGCCGCGUGGAGGAUGACGCAUUUCGGUGUGUAAACUCCUUUUAUAUGCCAAGAAAAUGACGGUAGCAUAUGAAUAAGCACCGGCUAACUCCGUGCCAGCAGCCGCGGUAAUAGGGAGGGUGCAAGCGUUACUCGGAAUCACUGGGCGUAAAGGACGCGUAGGCGGGUUGGAAAGUCAGGUGUGAAAUCCUACAGCUUAACUGUAGAACUGCACUUGAAACUUCUAAUCUAGAGUAUGGGAGGGGGAGAUGGAAUUAGUGGUGUAGGGGUAAAAUCCGUAGAUAUCACUAGGAAUACCUAAAGCGAAGGCGAUCUCCUGGAACAUUACUGACGCUAAGGCGUGAAAGCGUGGGGAGCAAACAGGAUUAGAUACCCUGGUAGUC
rnacentral:rRNA from 1 species